rnacentral:rRNA from 1 species
GUGAGGAAUAUUGGUCAAUGGGCGGGAGCCUGAACCAGCCAAGUCGCGUGAAGGAAGAAGGAUCUAUGGUUCGUAAACUUCUUUUGCAGGGGAAUAAAGCGCAGGACGUGUCCUGUUUUGUAUGUACCCUGAGAAUAAGGAUCGGCUAACUCCGUGCCAGCAGCCGCGGUAAUACGGAGGAUCAGAGCGUUAUCCGGAAUUAUUGGGUUUAAAGGGUGCGUAGGUGGUUUGAUAAGUCAGCGGUGAAAGUUUGCAGCUUAACUGUAAAAAUGCCGUUGAAACUGUCGGACUUGAGUGUAAAUGAGGUAGGCGGAAUGCGUGGUGUAGCGGUGAAAUGCAUAGAUAUCACGCAGAACUCCGAUUGCGAAGGCAGCUUACUAAGCUACAACUGACACUGAAGCACGAAAGCGUGGGGAUCAAACAGGAUUAGAAACCCCUGUAGUCC